rnacentral:rRNA from 1 species
UACGUAUGGUGCGAACGUUGUUCGGAAUCACUGGGCAUAAAGAGCACGUAGGCGGUUAAGCAAGUCCAUUGUGAAAUCCCCCGGCCUAACCGGGGAACUGCAUUGGAUACUACUUGACUUGAGUGCAGGAGGGGAGAGUGGAAUUCCAGGUGGAGCGGUGAAAUGCGUAGAUAUCUGGAGGAACACCGGUGGCGAAGGCGGGUCUCUGGGCUGACACUGACGCUCAUGCACGAAAGCGUGGGGAGCAAACAGG